AACGAACGCUGGCGGCAUGCCUAACACAUGCAAGUCGAACGAGACCUUCGGGUCUAGUGGCGCACGGGUGCGUAACGCGUGGGAAUCUGCCCUCUGGUACGGAAUAACUCAGGGAAACUUGAGCUAAUACCGUAUAAUGACUUCGGUCCAAAGAUUUAUCGCCUGAGGAUGAGCCCGCGUCGGAUUAGCUAGUUGGUGAGGUAAAAGCUCACCAAGGCGACGAUCCGUAGCUGGUCUGAGAGGAUGAUCAGCCACACUGGGACUGAGACACGGCCCAGACUCCUACGGGAGGCAGCAGUGGGGAAUAUUGGACAAUGGGCGAAAGCCUGAUCCAGCAAUGCCGCGUGAGUGAUGAAGGCCUUAGGGUUGUAAAGCUCUUUUACCCGGGAUGAUAAUGACAGUACCGGGAGAAUAAGCCCCGGCUAACUCCGUGCCAGCCGCCGCCGUAACAC
rnacentral:rRNA from 1 species